rnacentral:rRNA from 1 species
AAUCAACGCUGGCGGCGUGCCUAACACAUGCAAGUCGAGCGAGAAAGUGGAGCAAUCCAUGAGUACAGCGGCGCACGGGUGAGUAACACGUGACUAACCUACCCUCGAGUGGGGAAUAACUUCGGGAAACCGAGGCUAAUACCGCAUAAUACCCACGGGUCAAAGGAGCAAUUCGCUUGAGGAGGGGGUCGCGGCCGAUUAGUUAGUUGGCGGGGUAAUGGCCCACCAAGACGAUGAUCGGUAUCCGGCCUGAGAGGGCGCACGGACACACUGGAACUGAAACACGGUCCAGACUCCUACGGGAGGCAGCAGUGGGGAAUUUUGCGCAAUGGGGGAAACCCUGACGCAGCAACGCCGCGUGGAGGAUGAAGUCCUUCGGGACGUAAACUCCUUUCGAUCGGGACGAUAAUGACGGUACCGGAAGAAGAAGCCCCGGCUAACUUCGUGCCAGCAGCCGCGGUAAUACGAGGGGGGCGAGCGUUGUUCGGAAUUAUUGGGCGUAAAGGGUGCGUAGGCGGUUUGGUAAGUCUGAUGUGAAAUCUAUGGGCUCAACUCAUAGUCUGCAUCGGAAACUGCCGGGCUUGAGUGUGGGAGAGGUGAGUGGAAUUUCCGGUGUAGCGGUGAAAUGCGUAGAUAUCGGAAGGAACACCUGUGGCGAAAGCGGCUCACUGGACCACAACUGACGCUGAUGCACGAAAGCUAGGGGAGCAAACAGGAUUAGAUACCCUGGUAGUCCUAGCCCUAAACGAUGACUGCUUGGUGUGACGGGUACCCAAUCCCGCCGUGCCGUAGCUAACGCGUUAAGCAGUCCGCCUGGGGAGUACGGUCGCAAGGCUG